GGCGCGGCGGGCGGGGGCGCCUCGGGGUUCAGUAGACAAAGACUGUGCUUCUCGGGCCCGCCCGCGCAGCGCUGGGCAGGGAAAGUGCGGUGGGCACACUGAGCACUGGAGCCGGAAACGUCCCAACUGCACGGUCCGUAGGGCGGCGCUCGAUCUGCUUCGACCCUGGGGCCCCUCACGGUGUUUGGAUGCGACUCUCCUGCCCAACUUCAUCGUCCUUGCCUGUGUCAAGAGGACACCGUGGCGAGUGCACACGUGGAACGCCGCGACUCUCCCAAGGCCUACUACGGCCUUGGACUCAGCUAGCUGUGAAAGUUCGAGAACAGCCGCCCACUUGGAGGGGCCUCCAAGGCCCCGGAUCUCCUUAGGCGAACGGGCUGAAGCGGAGGCAGGGGCUUGAGUUUGAACGACGCAGAAACGUUUUCAAACAGAAGGGGCCUGUGGAUGGAAGGGUGCCGCCAAGCCCGAUGUGUUCGUGGCAGCCGCUGAAGGUUAUGGAGAAAGGGAGAUUCCAGGACAGGGCUGGGAGCCGCCAGAAGGCCAGAUCUGGGGUGCGCACAUCCGGCUGCAGCCCUGGGCCUAGGGACGGGGUGAGCUAGGUGCAGGACAAGGAGCGUGCGUGCCUGUGCUCCAGGCUUGGAGAGCACUAAAGUUGAGGGGCUUAGUCGUAAGAAUGCCUUGGGGGCCACGUGGUCAAGCUCCUACCCUCACACCGCCCUGGUUUCUGCUUCCAAGAAAUAGGAGGGCAGCCGUGAGACAAGAACAGCUCUUUCUGCCUGUGGCUUUGAGACCAGACCUUCAUAUGUAGCCCAGGUUGGUCUAGAACUUGACGCCUUCGUGCCUCAGCCUCCUGAAUUCGGACAGACAUUACAGGUGUGCAUGAUAAUACCUGGCUACUUUCUCUUUCUCUGGAGGUGGAACCCAGGGUUCACGCAUGCUGGGCAGGCGAGAGCAGAACUUGCUGAACCUCAUCUCGUUGGCCCUUGUUUUAUUUGUUAAGAGAGCCUGCGUCAAAAAGCCAGAGAAAGUUGGGGGUGGGGGGAGGAGGAGCGUGGGAGAGCCUGCCUUCACAUUGACAUCAUUCCUGGCAUUAGUUGUGUGGAGCUCUGAUCCUGUAGGAGUGCUGGGGAAGGGUUCAGGAGCCUCAUACGCACAUGGGGUACCCCAUAGUUGAGCUUCAGAACCAUUGGAGGGAGGUCCAGUGGGACCCUGUGGGCAGCCCUCUAGGUACCUCGUUGCAGAGUAUAGGUGGGCCAGUUGUGGCAGGCUGGUAUUGUGUCUGGACUUAAUAGGUUUAGGGACAAUGUGUGUGAGGGAAUGGAAAGCUAAGUUGAGGUUGCAUGCCACCGUGGGUGGGUCAGGAUUUGUCCUGUGUGGCUGAGUGUGUCCCCUGGGCUUGCUGGUCUGCACUGUCGGGGAAGGGGGUGUGGUGCAGGCACUUAUGUAGGAAGGAGUCACUUGAGACAGUCAUCCUGCUAUCUGAGAGCCCUUUGCACCGGCCAUUGAUGAUCUGAGGCAGAAGACAAGGUGGGUCCAAGUGCUUGUCCUUGGUUGUUAGCUGGGAAGAAACCGAAAGAGUCCUGGAGUGCCCAUGUCCUAGGGCUGUACUGUUUUAUUGUUUUCUUAUGUUUCACAAGGGUAAAAUUAUAGCAGGAGUAUUACUACCUCUUCCACCUCUGCCCCGCAGAUAUUGAGAUCUGUUUAGCUCUGAGGAUCCAUGCCAAGGGCUGGGCAGUAGGAGAGAGGCAGCGUGGGUCGAGGCUGUCACUGCCCACAGUGACAUGUUUGGAAAUGUCUUUCCUUAGUCCUUAUAUGAGACGGGUUUAGUGUGGAAACAGGACCAAUAGUAGGCAAAAAGGAGCACUAUACCCUUUCAUCUCCCUACCCCAGAGGGGCUGUCGAUCAGCCCCUACCUCACUUGCUCAAUGCCAAGGACACAGGAGAGCCAUAAGAACUUGGCUGUACCUACUCAUCUUCCUGCCCUCUCCUGCCCAGCUCUAGUUUACACACCAAGCUCUCCUUCCCUUAACCUGCAUAGCUUUAUUUUUUUUUCUUUUUUUUCGGAGCUGGGGACCGAACCCAGGGCCUUGUGCUUGUUAGGCAAGUGCUUCUACCGCUGAGCUAAAUCCCCAACCCCCCUACAUAGCUUUAGAACUUUGAACUCUACCUAAUUCUCACGCAAAGCACUGGGACACCUCUGUGCUCUGGAUGUGCUCCCAUUGCAGUUCGUAGGUUGAAAUCCCCGCCCCCACUGCCCCACAACACACCCUGGGUGAUGUUAUUAGGAAGGCCCUUACUGGCUAACAGUACCUCCUGUCUCCACGGACACAUGGCCUGUGAAAGACAAGCAAGGGGUGCUCCCAAUUAUUUAAAAUUUAUUUUUUUAGAAUUAAAAAAAAAAAUCCCCGGGGGCAGAGGCAGCUGGAGAAAUGGUUCAGUGGUUAAGAGCACCCUGUGUUCUUUCGGAGGACCCGAGUGUGUCCGGUGACUCACAAUCACCUGUAACUCCAGCUCCAGGGGAUCCAAUACCCUCUUCUGUCUUCACACAUAAAUAAAUAUAUAACAUUAUUUUUAAUCCUGUAAGGCUCGAUGUGGUAGCUCACAUCUUUAAUCCCAGCACUCAGGAAGCAGAAGUAGGCAGAUCUCUUAUGACUUCAAGUCCUGGUCUACAUAGUGAGUUCUAAGCUAGCCAAGGCUACUGUACCUUCAGGCUUCUCUAGAGCAGCAGUUCUUGACCUGUGGGUUGUGACUCCUUUGUCAGCCCAUAGCUCCAAGAAGUAAAUAAAUAAAUUUGCAUUAUGAUUCAUAAUAGCAAAAUUACAGUUAUGAAGUUACACCAAACUAAUUUUAUGGUUGGGGGGUCACCACAACAUGAGGAACUGUAAUUAAAGGGUCGAAGCAUCAGGAAGGUUUGAGAACCACUGCUUUAGAGGAAAAGAAUUUAUAGAAUGAGUCUCCCCCCUCUAUAUGAUAAUAUAUAUACAUAUAUACAUAUAUAUAUACACAUACAUAUAUACAUAUAUACAUACAUACACAUAUACACACACACACACACACACACACAUAUAUAUAUAUAUAUAUAUAUAUGUAUGUAUGUAUGUAUAUAUGACUUAGUAGAAUGACUUUUAAGCUGUGGUCCAGCUAAUCCAACAAUGGCUAGCCAUUGAAUAGAAGGUCCAAGAAUCCAGUAGUUGUUCAGGCCAUGAGGCUGGCUGUCCCUUCUGGUCUUCAGUAUACACUCAAAUCCCAAAGAAGUCUUGCUCUAACGCCAGUAAGGGUGAGAACUGGCCAAGGGAGCAAGCGUCCCUCCUCCCCAUCCCUCACACAGGCUGACAGUCAAAGGUGUGACCCAGAUUAAAGAGGUGUCUUCCUGCCUUAAAAGAUCGGGAUUAAGAGAGACUUCGCGCCUCAAAAAUUGGAUUAGAAGUGGAUCUUCUGGGGGCUGGAGAGAUGGCUCAGCGGUUAAGAGCACCCGACUGCUCUUCCAGAGGUCCUGAGUUCAAAUCCCAGCAACCACAUGGUGGCUCACAACCAUCUGUAAGGAGACCCGAUGCCCUCUUCUGGUGUGUCUGAAGACAGCUACAGUGUACUUAUAUAUAAUAAAUGAAUAAAUCUUUUUAAAAAAAAAGGGGGGGGCUGGAGAGAUGGCUCAGUGGUUAAGAGCACUGACUGCUCUUCCAGAGGUCCUGAGUUCAAUUCCCAGCAACCACAUGGUGGCUCACAACCAUCUGUAAAGAGAUCCGAUGCCCUCUUCUGGUGAAUCUGAAGACAGCUACAGUGUACUUAUAUAUAAUAAAUGAAUAAAUCUUUAAAAAAAAAAAAAAA